rnacentral:tRNA from 1 species
GGUGGGUUGGCUCAGUGGUUAGAGCGUAGGUCUCGUAAACGAAAGGUUGCGGGAUCGAAUCCCGUUUUUCCA